CGGGAGCGCUCAGUGCCAGCCCUCAGGGCGGAGGAUGUACCACAAGGCCCUUCUGUGCGAGACGAUAAACCAGCGGCAGCGACUGUCCGAGGGCCCACCUGUUGUACUGAUCCGUGCCAGCCUCCUUCAGCGUAAUUAAAAGGUGAUGAUAUUGGAUAUUGGAGAGCCAAUAUUUGGAAGACUGGCAACAUGAAAGAGAGAAUGAGCAUUCUUUGGAGUUUUGAGCUGGAAAAUCUGCUUUGACUCCAGGGUGUCUGAUCUACUUGCUGGAUAAAGUAUUGAAAAAUCCUUCUAAUUUUUCCCCAUUAAAUCACACAAUUUAAGUUUUGGGUUUUUUACUAUGUUCUCACUGAAAAAAAAAAUAAAAUCUUUGGUUUAGUCUA